AGGUUUGCGGGAUCGAGGCCCGUCUAUCUAGU
rnacentral:tRNA from 1 species